rnacentral:lncRNA from 1 species
GGCGUGGAAGGACCAACAGCUGGAACUCAUCACUCAUCCUUCGCAGCUCCCGGCCAUAUUUCCGUGCUGCCCAUAGGACGGGGGGGCAGAGCGGGAACGGCCUCGAAAUGUGGGGGGGGCAGCGGGGCUGGAACCAGAGCUGCCCCCCCAGGGGGAUUCGGGGGGGUCCCGGUGGCAGGGGCCAGGCAGGGGUGGGGGCUGCGGCUCCUCCGGGAACUCCUCAAUGCUAAACAUGGUCAGGGCAUGGUGGCCCCAAAUUCUCCCCCCCGGGUCCCUUUUACCCCUCCCCCAACCUCCACUCCACCGCCGCUCCGCGUCUUUCUGCACUUCCG